rnacentral:misc_RNA from 1 species
UCGAAUAUCGUGGAUUGCGCUUAGGCCUUGCCCGGGCUUCGUUGCCUUUGAGCGGGCCUUGGUGCCUUUCCGCUUUGCCAUCUCAAACCCCUGUGCACCUUUUUAUUGUGGGGUUAGCGGUGGAUAACGCUGCGCCCUGCUCUAACAAACUCUUUUUAACUGUAACCUUGUAUGCCUGUUUCUUAAUUGAAACCAUUGAAUAA